UGGGGAAUUUGGACAAUGGGCGAAAGCCUGAUCCAGCAAUGCCGCGUGUGUGAAGAAGGCCUUCGGGUUGUAAAGCACUUUUGUCCGGAAAGAAAUCCUUGGCUCUAAUACAGUCGGGGGAUGACGGUACCGGAAGAAUAAGCACCGGCUAACUACGUGCCAGCAGCCGCGGUAAUACGUAGGGUGCAAGCGUUAAUCGGAAUUACUGGCGUAAGCGUGCGCAGGCGGUUUGCUAAGACCGAUGUGAAAUCCCCGGGGCUCAACCUGGGAACUGCAUUGGUGACUGGCAGGCUAGAGUAUGGCAGAGGGGGGUAGAAUUCCACGUGUAGCAGUGAAAUGCGUAGAGAUGUGGAGGAAUACCGAUGGCGAAGGCAGCCCCCUGGGCCAAUACUGACGCUCAUGCACGAAAGCGUGGGGAGCAAACAGGAUUAGAUACCCUGGUAGUCCACGCCCUAAACGAUGUCAACUAGUUGUUGGGGAUUCAUUUCCUUAGUAACGUAGCUAACGCGUGAAGUUGACCGCCUGGGGAGUAC
rnacentral:rRNA from 1 species